rnacentral:lncRNA from 1 species
CACCAGAAGAGGGCAUCAUGUCCCAUGGGACUGCAGUCAUAGAUGGCUGUGAGAUGCCAUGGGGGUGCUGGGAAUCUCUGGGAGAACAGCAAGUGCUCAUAACUCCUGAACUAUCUGUCAAUAACCUCAGACUAACCGAUACAUCCACCUCAGUUUCCUUAACAAGAUAUUUAAGAAGCUAGGUUACUGAAGACCACGGGCUCUCUGGAAUCCUACACAACUUCAGCACCAAACUGAAACUGAUUAGGUGUCCAGCAUUUUGGACUCAGCAGCUAUUGUGUAAGCCAAGCUAAUAAAUUCCCUUUAUAAU